GCCAUCGAUUGAGUUCAGAUAUUGAAGGCAGGAAGCAGGCAGAGUGAGUGGCAUUGGGAAAUCCGGACUUCCAUCUGUUUUGGCUUGCAGUCGCUUUCCUGGGGCCGGACAUCCUCUCCAUCACCGAGGUGAUGUUGAAGCUUUUGGGAGGUAGAAGAUAUGAGUUCUCAUUGAUGACACUUGGGACCAAACAAAGAGUAUUGAAGAUCAAGCAAAAUUAACAUGAGGAUGUCAUGAAGGAGAAUUAAAUCUUUCUUACUUGACCAAGUAUAUUGCUGGAACAAUCAACAACAUGAAUUCAAAUCUCAGUCAGUAGCAUAGCAUUCAGCUGUCACUCUGCAUGGAGAAAAAGUGAACAGGGUGAGAAGCAGCUUACUCUAUCCAAUCAUAUGUUUUGUUCAUUAAUCAGGCUAAGCAACUCCAAUCAUUGUUGUGAUGGAGGGGGUGACAACUGAUCUAAUCAGCAGAAAUUGUUGGGUUCUGGAAGUGCUAUUUUCUAGAUCCAAAUUCUCCUGCUUCCCUUUUUUUCUCAGGCACCAAUAUCUGUGGCAUUUCAAGGGGCACAAGAUCAUAACACACCACAUGUGGCAAGUAGCAUGAGGAGGAGGGCAUCACAUGCCAAUGGACUACAAAGUGAACAACCAAAAGUAACCAUCACAUGCUACAAACAGAAGAUCAAUUAAAUUCUGUAACAAAAAAAUAACUGGAGGAAUUCAUGCAACUUAUGACUGUAACUCCCCCAGAUGGAGCAAAUCAAAAGUUUUUCUGAGGCUGGUAAGUUAGAACUUAACCACAACUGUAUUCAGGUAAUCAGGAGACUGAAGAUUUGCCAACAAUGUCCAUGAAUGCAGGAACAGGAGAGUGAUCAACUGAUGAGGUCAUUUUUGGUUUAGCUCAGUGGUCAGUUUCUUUGUCUGUGCAGCUAAAUAGAAGCAUGAAAAUAGUUGUCAUCCUAUCCCCAAAAAAAGUAGCAAGCAGAACAUGGUGUGCUUCGCAAGAAAAGCAGAGAGAAGUCAUGGUCCCAAUCUGAGUCCAAGCAUGAAAGCUUCAAGACAGCACAUGACAUGUAGGAAGCAUGGCCUGCCACAAUGCAACAAGCAAUGAACAAUCCUUUUAACUAACUACCAAAACCUCUCUUUAUUCCCCUUUUCUUACCCUUCUUUCUCAACUUUGCUUCUGAUAGACAACAGACAUGGGAAAACUUUAUGUUCCAUGAGAUAAGGAAAUCACUAAACUCCAAGCUGUGCCCAUAAAGAAUGUAC